ACUGCCUGUCGACAUCUCAGCCCUCCAUGCUCCCGGCACAGGCAAAAAUGGCUUAACAAUCAUUAAACCACCCACUUCUUAUGGAAGGAACUGAGUUCACGACGCUACACUUUCAGGUCAGUAACAACUUUCAGAAAGCAAACAAAACCAAAAUAAGAGUCAGAAAAACCACUUCCAAUCUGGAGGGCUCCUCGCCCGAUGCUGCUGCUGCUGCGCUCUUCAAGGAGAAGCGUUUGAAUCGAUCAUUUCGUUUUCAGAGAUCCCAACAGAGCACUGAGUCAAAGAUCCAGACCAGCUAGUGAGACAAGUGGGAAAAUAUCUGGAAUUUCAAAGGAUCAUUAAUAUUUUAAAACACUGGAGAGAAACAGUAUUUUACAAAGAAACAUUUGGAGACAACCUUCUGGGACUCCUCUCCUGAUGGACUUUGGAGAUAAUGGCAGUAGCCAAAAAUUAACACCCAGAGGCAACGGAACAGGUGCCCAGAUCUGAGACUCUGAGGGUCAAGAGGCAGUGGCAGGUGUGACACCAGCAAAGCCACCCGAGAACACUGAAGAAGUUAGAGGUCCUAGAUGCAGCUGCUCCCAACUGAAGGGCUCCUGAAAACACUCGUGGUUUUAGAAGCUAAGGAAAGAGGCCGGGCGCCGUGGCUCACACCUGUAAUCCCAGCACUUUGAGAGGCCGAGGCAGGCAGAUCACCUAAGGUUAGGAGUCAAGACCAGCCUGGCCAACAUGGUGAAACCUCAUCUCUACUAAAAAUACAGAAGAAAAUUUUUAGCCAGGCGUGGUGAUGCACGCCUGUAUUCCCAGCUAUGCAGGAGGCUGAGGCAGGAGAAUCACUUCAACCUGGGAGGUGGAGGUUGUAGUGAGCCAAGAUCGCACCACAGCACUCCAGCCUGGGUAACAGAGUGAGACUCUGUCUCAUUUAAAAAAAAAAAAAAAAGAUGCUAAGGAAAGAACCUGAGCAUUUCUCUCCCCAGCCCCCACAAUAUGAAGAAUUAGGUACAAAGCACUCCAGAGCCCCGGACCUUAGGUUUGGUUUGGCAGCUGCAGCAGAAAGUGAUGGUUCCUAGUGAUACAACUCAGAAUUAAAGUAACUUGUACAUGCCAGUUUCUUAGAAAAUGAAUGAAGUUAUCAUUUUAAAAAAAGAAGAGCCUGCCCAAAAGAAACAGCAUAAGCUAACAAACACGCACCAGCGGAAGGGCUGCGUGAAGACAUGAGUGAAUGCGAGCAAAUGAGGUGGCUGCAGGCUCUCACUCGGGGCAUGAUGAAAUUUCCAAGACUGUUCUAAGAGAGCUCUUCAGAGAGGUCAUGUGAGAACACUGAAAACAGGCCGAUUCAACGGAGCCAAUUAUUCACUGGAUUUAUUAAUUCUUAAAAGAGAAAGGUUAGCAUGGAUUUAUAGCUCUAACAGGAAGUGGGAGGUAGAGAAGCCCACUCACCUCCCUCUCCAGACUCAGGGAAGGGAAUGAGAAGGUGCCACACAGAGCCCUGGCAGGACCGAGGGCCACACAGGCUGCCUGGCCGCCGUCCCAGACCUGUGGCCACAUGAGAUUUAGGUUUCGAUGUGGCACAGCUUCAAAUGGAUACACGAGGGGAUAGUCAUCUUCUGUGAGAAACAGUGGCACCUUUUCCCAAAGACAAAUAGUUAAGACAUCACUCCUAUUUUUUCAGCUGCCCCAAGUAAUUGCUCUUUUGACGUUUUUGAAAAAGUUCCCCAAAGCUGAAGAGCCUCUCAGUAAAACCAAAAAUCAAAAGCACCAAUUAAGCGCAAAGCGAGUUUGGGUGGAGUCUUCAUCCUGGAUGCCAAGGAACAUGAAAAUGGAAGGUCAAGUUCCCAUGUGCCGCAGAGAUGAUGACAAACCAGUAGGAACUGGUAAACCUGCUACGUUGCAGGUCGCUCAUGUCUAUUAGAAGAGAUCGUUUUUACCAGGAGGACAGAAACAGGACUGCAUGGGCUGCCAACACCAGGCAACGAUGAAAAGGUGCCCCCUUCUACUCCUGAGCCAUCUAUCCCCACUUCCACUCCUGGGCUAUUUAUUCUCUCUUCAGAUGGGAUCUGUUUUCAGAAUACUUUAAAAAUGACAUGUCCACUUCAUGAGAAAUAUCCAAAGACAACAGAGUCACCGACGUGGCCACAGAACACAUUGGUUUCCUUGUGAAAUUCUGCCUACACUCACUGAAGACAGUGACGACAGUGAAAGAACUAGUGCCUCGGGUGUGGGCUGUGGCCAAGAGGACAAAGAGUCACUAGGUAGAGAAGGAUCUUCAAACUCUCUGGUUAUCUCAUUUCUACCAUCACAUUCAUUUGCAGCUAAUCGUCCAGCAAUGAUGCUGUAUCUGAUAUACACCUAGAAAAAUGUCCUCCAAGUCCUGACAGCCAGCUUUGGAAAUUCUUAACUUAAAACUUUCCCAUAUCAUGACCCAGAGACCAUACUUCCAGUGUUGAGAAUUACUUCUAAAAAACAAAACAAAAGCCUACAUUAAAAUGGUCCAGAUUUUCUUAGAUAAUGAACAAGGAAUACACAUUUGAUGAAUUUCCCAUCACAGAGACUCUACUUUCUCCUAAUUUCAUGUCAGUCUCCAGAGGUAGGGUCCAAAUAUUAAACUGGAAAACAAACGCUUGCAACUUUUCAGAAGAGUAGGAUUCUUUUCUCACCUUUUAACACUGCUUUUCCUUGAAGCAGAUCUGGUGGUUCUUUUAGUAAUGCCUGCACUGCCAGAAAUGUUAGGUUCAGAUGUUUUACAGCUCUGAACACUGGAUUGAAGAAUUACUCUGAAAAUAGUUGGAAAAAAAUAAGAUUAUAUUCACUGAAACCAUUUGCAAAUACUUGACAGAGGAAAGUAUUUUUGCACUUUAGUGCAAAUUAUCUUGAGAAUUGAGAGGAUUUUCCAUCAACACAUUUACCAAAAAAAUCUGAAACACAUUUUCACAUCAAGGCCUUUUAAAAUGAAGCAUCUCGUUUCUCUUUGAAGGUUACACAAAGACAACCAGAGGGCUUUGCUCCUGGAAGGCGAAUGACUUGGCAUUUUAAGCAAUUCCCACACCAAAGAAAUCCACCAGCUAAAGAAAUCUUUGUGCCCAACAAAAGUAGAAGUAGCUUCUCAGACUUUCAGUCAUGAAACAAGACACCAUUAAGAGCUCAAAUUCUAAAGAAUAGGAACAUAAAUUUAGGAAAUAACUAUACAAUAUUCACUCUUCAAAGCUGUAAGUAUGGGUAAUAAUCCACUAAAUCAAUACUAAUUUUAUAUAACGUUUCAAAAUUUUAGAAAGUGUUUAAGCAAAAUAUGAGUUUUGCCUGAAUUAUAUAUAACACUUACUAAAUCUCCAAGUGCCACUAAAAUGAAAGUGAAAACACUUAAAUUUUGUAAAGCUUGCCUUAAUUAAACUCUAAAAAGCUUGAGAAACUGGUGCAUAUGAGAGUAGGCUGCCCAGGAGGAAGCACACGAUGAAUCAGAAAAGAACAUCCUGAGAUAAAGGCCACACGGAAUGUCCUUUAAGAGGCAGAUGGUCCUUUGGUUUUUUUUUUUCUUUCCUCUUUAAAUUGUUAUAGGGAAAACAGCAGAAGACAUCAAAAGAUUUUAUAUGCAAUUCUUUUUUUUUUUUUUUGAGAUGGAGUCUUGCUCUGUCGCCCAGGCUGGAGUGCAGUGGCGUGAUCUCGACUCACUGCAACCUCUGCCUCCCAGGUUCAAGCGAUCCUCCUGCCUCAGCCUCCUGAGUAGCUGGGACCGCAGGCGCCCACCACCUCACCUGGUUAAUUUUUGUAUUUUUAGUAGAGAUGAGGCUUUGCCAUGUUGGCCAAGCUGGUCUCGAACUCCUGAUCUCAGGUGAUUCGCCCACCUCACUUACUCCCAAAGUGCUGGGAUUACAGGUGUGAGCCACCACACCAGGCCUAUAUGCAAUUCUUUUCUUCAAGAGAUAAUCAAUGACAAACUAAACACAUAUACACACAUUUAUAGAUACCAACUUUUAAUUCUCUGAAAGAGAAAAUACUGACUUAACAAGCUUUCUUCUCUCCUAUUCAAACAUAAAGGUGAGAAAGCCAAUAACAACUUAUGAGAACCCAGCUCAAAGGAGUAAAAAGUUGAACCAUUACAAUUAGUGAGCAUCCCACCUCACGGGCCUCAGCUACCACCAUGCUGGCUAAUAUACCAAAGACAGGGCCUUAAAAUAGGCUAAGAUUAAUAAAUUUCUACAACCUUAGCAUGACCCAAACCAAAGCAUAUCCAACAUUUAGUAAAAUGCUAAACAUCUCAUCACUAAAAAAGCAACAAGAGGCUGGGCACGGUGGCUCACACCUGUAAUCCUAGCACUUUGAGAGGCCGAGGUGGUUGGAUCACGAGGUCAGGAGUUCAAGAGCAGCCUGGCCAAGAUGGUGAAACCCCGUCUCUACUAAAAAUACAAAAAUUAGCCGAGUGUGGUGGCAGGUGCCUAUAAUCCCAACUACUCAGGUGGCUGAGGCAGGAGAACUGCUUGAACCUGGGCAGCAGAGGUUGUAGUGAGCCGAGAUCGUGCCACUGCACUCCAGCCUGGGCCAAAGAGCGAGACUCCGCAACCAGAGCAUAACCUGGAGCUUGUCUGGGCCAGCGGUCCCAAGCCUUCUGGGGAGAAGGGGAUGGGCAGCUUUCCCCACUAUUUCACUUUACUCAUGCAGGAUUUCUGAGGGCCCCAUGAAACUAGCUUUCUGUCUCACAGAGGGACAUGAAUCCUGGAUAAAUCAGCCAAUGUUUGGUUCAGAAAUUCUCCUAGAGUGUGAUCAUCUGAUAUGUUGAAUGUUCUAACAAAAUAGAAAAAGGAGGUGGUUGCGGUGGCUUAUGCCUGUAAUUCCAGCACUUUGGGAGACCAAGGCAGGAGGAUCACUUGAGGCCAAAAUUUCGAGACCAGCCUGGACAUUUUAAGCAAUUCCCACACCAAAGAAAUCCACCAGCCAAACAAGUCUUUAUGCCCAAAAGUAAAAGUAGCUUCUCAGAUUUUCAGUCAUGAAACAAGACACCAUUAAGAAGCCCAAAUUCUAAAAUAUAGUGAGACAUCCUCUCUAUAAAAUAAUAAUAAUAAUUAGCCGGGCGUGGUGGGGCGUGCCUUGGUUCCAGCUACUUGGGAGGUUGAGGUAGGAGGAUCACUUGAGCCUGGGAGGUCAAGACUGCAGUGAGCCAUGUUUGUGUCACCGAUCUCCAGCCAGGUGAUAGAGACUUUGUAUAAAAAAAAAAAAGAAGAGUGUAUAUGCAUCUUAAUUGUAUGAUUAAAGACAACUAUUACCCUGGCUUGUGAAUUCUACUUCUAAAAACAAGGAAUUGUUUUUAAAAUUUUUUUUCUUUUUUUUUUUUUUUUUAAGAGACAGGGUCUCACUCUGUUGCCCAGGCUGGAGUGCAGUGGCGCAAUCAUAGCAGCCUCAAAUCCUGGGCUCAAUUGAUCCUCCUACCUCAGCCUCCAGAGUAGUUGGGACCACAGGUACAUGCCACCACACCCAGCUAAUUUUUUCAUUUUUUAUUUUAUAGAGAUGGGGUCUCGCUAUGUUGCCCAGGCUAUUCUCAAAAUUCUGGCCUCAGUGAUUCUCUUUCCUCGACCUUCCAAAGUGUUGGGAUUUAUAGGCAUGAGCCAGUCUGCCCAUCCCUAAAAAUUAUUUGUUUAUAUAAAGUGAUGGGGAAAUAUUUAUUCAUCUCUGCUAAGAAUUUGAAUAUAGAAUUUUGCAUAAAACCAAACAAAACAAAACAAACUGCUGCUGCUUCAUUGCUACUUCUGAAGCCCAGGCCGGGGCACUCGUGCUGCCACUGUUCUCAUCCGCUCCCCUCGGCCACUCCCUUACGCACGGAGAAAACAAGACUCCUGUUGGCUUUUUUUUUUUAAAUACAACACCUAAUUCUCAAAUAAUUUGAGGCCACGGUUGGCCAAAAGUACAGACAACAAUCACACUGCAAAAUAAUUAAUCUGAGAAAAAAACAAGAGCUGAUACACUGCCUGCUUAGGAAAUCUGAAUCCUGAUUUCUCAAAUUAAAACUAUGACUGAAGUGUUUAAAUGCCAUUCAAAACAAGACACUACUGCUAAAUCCUGUAGUCAUUCUCAGGCUGCUGGAAAACAUCUUUUUAAAAGUAUUUAUUUCUCUAUAAAAUUAGUGUAAAUUAAAGUGAACUAAUAUAAUAAUAAUAUUAAAUAGCUAGUAAUUUCUGUGGAACUUUAAAACCAAGAGAAUGAUAGAACUUGAGUGUAUUAACCACACCACGGAAGACUCCAGUUAUUUGCACUGACAACACGGUAUUUAUCCUAACUGCAGGUUAUGCACUGAUGAAAUCGGGGUUGGGGGAGAACUCCACUGAGCUAUCAUGAGUGACAGCACACACCACCUGACAGGCACCAGAGGGUGACGUGUUGCCUCUGUCACAGGGAACCCGGGCACUCGCGGCCUUCUGCCUUCCAACCCAGGCCAAGCAUGGCUUUGCAGAGCAGUGUGCAGCAGAUGUAUUUUCUUCCUUCCCAUCUGCCCUGACAAAAUCCUCCAUCCUACCUACCUCUUGCCUAUAUUCCAGUUCACCUUCUUCUCUGCAGCAUCCUUGGAGCCUCGGUACUCUGAGAUUUCAGAUAUAGUGAAAUCUGCAACCCAAGGAACACGGCAAAGCCAAAAACUAAAAAGCCAGGUCUCGAACAUAAAUGUCCAAUUCCAAGAAAAAAAUCCAUCAGGGCAACUAUGCACUAUGUAUACUGGCUGUCCACUCCGGACACCACAAGAGCGUGCACAAAGGUGACCCUGAGGCCCUGCAGCCUCCAGAGAAGGCUUUCCCACUAUCUCUGAGUCUGACUCAGAAGCCUGAAGUGUUGUUAUGGCCUAAUUCUCCAGGCAUGCUGCAUAACAGGAGCUUUUCACUGGAAACAACUUAGCAGACGAUGCCACACCACCUGCGUCCACUGCCAGCAGAGGUGGGUGGUGAUGACAGAGGAUGGUGGAGCUCAGGAGUCACCACCUUACAAAUAAAACCCUUUUGAGAGAAAGACAUGGGGGUGCUACAAAGAUGAUACUGAUUAACACCACUGUAACUGUCACAAGCUUUUUGCUUCUCAAAAUUCCAAAUAAUUAGUCAGGCUGAACUGAAUACUCUGCUUGGGUCUAGAAAUACAAUGGCAAACGUCAUUACCAAUAACAACAGAAGGUAUAGUUUACAUGGAAUACUGAAAAGAAGAGAGCCUGAUAGAGACCAUGUUUAAACUUACCCUGGGAAUGAUCAUUCAACCACAAAGUGCCUAAGCAUUAUUUGCAACUGCUCCACCCAUUCAGAACAUCUUUGCCACUUGGAACAGUUUGAGAAGAAUAACUCUAUGUAGUGCAUGAUGCUCUUGAGUCAGAAUAUGUGGCAAUCGUAGUUGACUAAGAGAAGUAAAGAAGAAAACACCCAAAAGGUUAAUCUAUCUCAGAAAUACAGCAGGUCUGAAUGCGCGACAAUAAGCUUUUAUUUGUAAGAUAUUCAAGAAAAUGCCAUAAAUAGGAGCAAGUUAAGCAGGUUUUGCCUAAUUCUGAAGAGUGAAAUCAGCUUGAUUUUUAAAUCUUUCUCAGCUAUGUGAAAAU
rnacentral:lncRNA from 1 species